rnacentral:rRNA from 1 species
AAAAACUGAGGUGGUGUAAGAUGGACCCGCGUCUGAUUAGCUAGUUGGUGAGGUAACGGCCCACCAAGGCGACGAUCAGUAGCCGGCCUGAGAGGGUGGACGGCCACAUUGGGACUGAGACACGGCCCAAACUCCUACGGGAGGCAGCAGUGGGGGAUAUUGGACAAUGGGGGGAACCCUGAUCCAGCGACGCCGCGUGAGUGAAGAAGUAUCUCGGUAUGUAAAGCUCUAUCAGCAGGGAAGAAGAAAUGACGGUACCUGAGUAAGAAGCCCCGGCUAACUACGUGCCAGCAGCCGCGGUAAUACGUAGGGGGCAAGCGUUAUCCGGAAUUACUGGGUGUAAAGGGAGCGUAGACGGUGAUGUAAGUCUGGAGUGAAAGGCGGGGGCCCAACCCCCGGACUGCUCUGGAAACUAUGUGACUGGAGUGCAGGAGAGGUGAGCGGAAUUCCUAGUGUAGCGGUGAAAUGCGUAGAUAUUAGGAGGAACACCAGUGGCGAAGGCGGCUCACUGGACUGUAACUGACGUUGAGGCUCGAAAGCGUGGGGAGCAAACAGGAUUAGAUACCCUGGUAGUCCACGCCGUAAACGAUGAUCACUAGGUGUGGGUGGGUAUGGACCCAUCG